rnacentral:rRNA from 1 species
GGGCACCACCAGGGGGUGCAGCUGCGGCUUAUUUGACUCAACACGGGAAAUCUCACCAGGCCCGGACACCGGAAGGAUUGACAGAUUAACAGCUCUUUCUUGAUUCGGUGGGUGGUGGUGCAUGGCCGUUCUUAGUUGGUGGAGCGAUUUGUCUGGUUAAUUCCGGUAACGAACGAGACUCUAGCCUGCUAAAUAGGCGUCGCCAUUUAGGUGCGCUCGGCUUCGGUCGUGCGACUCUCUGGCGACGUAUUAAAAUUCUUCUUAGAGGGACCGGCGGCUUCGAGCCGCACGAGAUUGAGCAAUAACAGGUCUGUGAUGCCCUUAGAUGUCCUGGGCCGCACGCGCGCUACACUGAAAGAAUCA